AACGAACGCUGGCGGCGUGCCUAACACAUGCAAGUCGAACGAGAAAGGGGCUUCGGCUCCGAGUAAAGUGGCGCACGGGUGAGUAACACGUGGGUAACCUGCCUCUAAGAUUGGGAUAACUCGUCGAAAGAUGAGCUAAUACCGAAUAAGACCACAGUUCCCGCGGGAACAGGGGUCAAAGGUAGCCUCUGCUUGCAAGCUAUCACUUAGAGAUGGGCCUGCGCACCAUUAGCUAGUUGGUAGGGUAACGGCCUACCAAGGCAAAGAUGGUUAGCUGGUCUGAGAGGAUGAUCAGCCACACUGGAACGGAGACACGGUCCAGACUCCUACGGGAGGCAGCAGUGGGGAAUAUUGCGCAAUGGGCGAAAGCUUGACGCAGCAACGCCGCGUGAGUGAUGAAGGCCGUCGGGUCGUAAAGCUCUGUCGGGAGGAACGAAUGCUCCUGAGGUUAACAGCCUCGGGAGGUGACGGUACCUUCAAAGGAAGCACCGGCUAACUCUGUG
rnacentral:rRNA from 1 species